GCUGGCGUAGCUCAACGGUAGAGCAGCUGAUUUGUAAUCAGCAGGUUGAGGGUUCGAAUCCCAUCGCCAGCUCCA
rnacentral:tRNA from 1 species